rnacentral:rRNA from 1 species
GUCCACGCCGUAAACGUUGGGCGCUAGGUGUGGGGAACCUUCCACGUUCUCCGUGCCGUAGCUAACGCAUUAAGCGCCCCGCCUGGGGAGUACGGCCGCAAGGCUAAAACUCAAAGGAAUUGACGGGGGCCCGCACAAGCGGCGGAGCAUGUGGCUUAAUUCGACGCAACGCGAAGAACCUUACCAAGGCUUGACAUGCAGGGAAAUCUGGCAGAGAUGUCAGGUCCGCAAGGGUCCUGCACAGGUGGUGCAUGGUUGUCGU